ACAACAGUUGGAAACGACUGCUAAUACCGCAUAAGCCCACGGCUCGGCAUCGAGCAGAGGGAAAAGGAGCAAUCCGCUUUGAGAUGGCCUCGCGUCCGAUUAGCUAGUUGGUGAGGUAACGGCCCACCAAGGCGACGAUCGGUAGCCGGACUGAGAGGUUGAACGGCCGCAUUGGGACUGAGACACGGCCCAGACUCCUACGGGAGGCAGCAGUGGGGAAUAUUGCACAAUGGGGGAAACCCUGAUGCAGCGACGCCGCGUGGAGGAAGAAGGUCUUCGGAUUGUAAACUCCUGUUGUUGAGGAAGAUAAUGACGGUACUCAACAAGGAAGUGACGGCUAACUACGUGCCAGCAGCCGCGGUAAAACGUAGGUCACAAGCGUUGUCCGGAAUUACUGGGUGUAAAGGGAGCGCAGGCGGGAAGACAAGUUGGAAGUGAAAUCCAUGGGCUCAACCCAUGAACUGCUUUCAAAACUGUUUUUCUUGAGUAGUGCAGAGGUAGGCGGAAUUCCCGGUGUAGCGGUGGAAUGCGUAGAUAUCGGGAGGAACACCAGUGGCGAAGGCGGCCUACUGGGCACCAACUGACGCUGAGGCUCGAAAGUGUGGGUAGCAAACAGGAUUAGAUACCCUGGUAGUCCACACUGC
rnacentral:rRNA from 1 species